AUUGCCUCAGUAACGGCGAGUGAAGCGGCAACAGCUCAAAUUUGAAAUCUGGCGCAAGCCCGAGUUGUAAUUUGCAGAGGAUGUUUCGGGUGAAGCCACGGUCCAAGUCCCUUGGAACAGGACGUCAUAGAGGGUGAGAACCCCGUACCUGGCCGUCGGUGCCCCCCGCUGUGAAACUCCUUCGACGAGUCGAGUUGUUUGGGAAUGCAGCUCUAAAUUGGUGGUAAAUUCCAUCUAAAGCUAAAUACCGGCCAGAGACCGAUAGCGCACAAGUAGAGUGAUCGAAAGAUGAAAAGCACUUUGAAAAGAGAGUUAAAAAGUACGUGAAAUUGUUGAAAGGGAAGCGCUUGCGGCCAGACUUGCCCGCGGUUGCUCAGCCCGCCUUUUGGCGGGUGCACUCUUCCGCGGUCAGGCCAGCAUCGGUUUGGGCGGUCGGAUAAAGGCGUCGGGAACGUGGCCUCCCCUCGGGGAGGUGUUAUAGCCCGGCGCGCAAUGCGACCAGCCCGGACCGAGGUUCGCGCUUUGCUAGGAUGCUGGCGUAAUGGCCGUAAGCGGCCCGUCUUGAAACACGGACCAAGGAGUCUAACAUCUAUGCGAGUGUUUGGGUGUCAAACCCGUGCGCGUAAUGAAAGUGAACGGAGGUGGGAACCGCAAGGUGCACCAUCGACCGAUCCUGAUGUCUUCGGAAGGAUUUGAGUAAGAGCAUAGCUGUUGGGACCCGAAAGAUGGUGAACUAUGCGUGAAUAGGGUGAAGCCAGAGGAAACUCUGGUGGAGGCUCGCAGCGGUUCUGACGUGCAAAUCGAUCGUCAAAUUUGCGUAUAGGGGCGAAAGACUAAUCGAACCAUUUAGUAGCUGGUUCCUG
rnacentral:rRNA from 1 species